AUUUUUGAUUUUUAAACUCACACACAUAUCGUCACAUGCGCCGGGGUGCCCUUAAGGGUCGGCGGUAUGGGAUAUGUGGAGGCCUAAC
rnacentral:sRNA from 1 species